rnacentral:lncRNA from 1 species
GGAAAUUUACAAACAUUAUCGUACAGUUAGAAUUUGUAAGGACACAAUUGCAAACUCUCCUAAUUACAAUUUUGAACUGAAAAUUAUAAUCUCUGAUAUUAGUUAUUGGGAAAAGAACAAAAAGAAAACAAAUUCCUAAGCACGCAGAAGCAUACCUACAAAAAAAGAAAAAGAAACAAAAACUCAUAAACCCUCCAAAUUACAAUUAUGAACGGAAAAUUACAUACUUUUUGUCUUCUUCAAUAUUUUUGUCUUCUUCCUCCCUUGAUCAGAUCUUUUGUUGUUACUCUUCCUGUUUUACUUGAUCAUAAUUUUUUGUGACUCUUCCUUCCUCCCUUAAUCGAAACCUGACUCUGAUAUUAGUUAUUGGGAAAAUAGCAACAACAAAAAACAAAUUCCUAAGCACAAAGAAGCAUACCAACAAAAAAGAAAAA